GGGGACGUGAGGUAGUGGCUAUCCUGGCCGCCUCCAGAGCGGCUCACCUGGGUUCGAGUCCCAGCGUCCCCA
rnacentral:tRNA from 1 species